rnacentral:rRNA from 1 species
CACGUAGGCGGGUUCUUAAGUCAGGGGUGAAAUCCUGGAGCUCAACUCCAGAACUGCCUUUGAUACUGGGAAUCUCGAGUCCGGGAGAGGUGAGUGGAACUGCGAGUGUAGAGGUGAAAUUCGUAGAUAUUCGCAAGAACACCGGUGGCGAAGGCGGCUCACUGGCCCGGUACUGACGCUGAGGUGCGAAAGCGUGGGGAGCAAACA